rnacentral:other from 3 species
CAUCCCCUGCAGUGUGCGACAGCGGCCUGGGUAUUUUCUUGAGCCUAAUGCAUACCCCGGGGACACUCAAACUGGGCCGUUGUGCAUGUCCGCCCCGAGCGGGAAGCCUGAAGCCCCAUCGAGAGUCCCCACUUGAACCGCUUGGUUCAAGAACGAAGGAUCGCAUCGGCACAGGCGGGGGAUGU